AGAGAUGUGUGAUGACGCAUAUCAAUAAGCGGAGGAAAAGAAACUAACAAGGAUUCCCUUAGUAACGGCGAGUGAAGCGGGAAGAGCUCAAAUUUGAAAUCUUCAAGGUUUUACCUUGACGAAUUGUAGUUUAAAGAAGUGUUUUCUGUUGGAGUCUUGGUAAAAGUUCUUUGGAAUAGGACAUCAUAGAGGGUGAGAAUCCCGUAUUUGACCAUAUUUCCAACUUUGUGAUACACUUUCAAAGAGUCGGAUUGUUUGGGAAUGCAGUCCAAAAUGGGUGGUAAAUUUCAUCUAAAGCUAAAUACUGGCGAGAGACCGAUAGCGAACAAGUACCGUGAGGGAAAGAUGAAAAGAACUUUGAAAAGAGAGUUAAACAGUACGUGAAAUUGUCAAAGGGGAAGCGUUUGACACCAGUGUUGUUUUCUCGAAAAUCAAUUAAAAAUGAUGGGAUUUUGUGUUGUAUUGACUUUAUCAGCUUUCUGCACUUUUUUUCCUAUCUUUUUUAAUGCACUUUUCGUUUAACAAGUCAACAUCAAUUUCUUUUGUUGUAAAAGAGUCAUUGGAAGGUGGCUUUCUUUUCGGAGAAAGUGUUUAUAGCCUUUGGCUUCUGCAAUCGGAGAGAUUGAGGUCUGCAGCGUAGAUCCUUCGGGGUUAGAUGCAUUUGUGCUAAGUUAUAGCCUUUCAUAGACAACUUGUUGACUAUGAUCAGUCAUGUAGCUUACUCGCUUAUGUCAUUUUACCUACGCUUAGGAUGUUGAAGAUGUAGCACAUCAU
rnacentral:rRNA from 1 species